rnacentral:tRNA from 1 species
GGGGAUGUGGCUCAAGCAGUAGUGCGCUCGCCUGGCAUGCGCGGGGUGCUGGGUUCAAUCCUCAGCACCUCA